GAUGAAGAACGCAGCGAAAUGCGAUAAGUAAUGUGAAUUGCAGAAUUCAGUGAAUCAUCGAAUCUUUGAACGCACAUUGCGCCCCUUGGUAUUCCAUGGGGCAUGCCUGUUCGAGCGUCAUUUGUACCUUCAAGCUCUGCUUGGUGUUGGGUGUUUGUCUCGCCUCUGCGUGUAGACUCGCCUCAAAAUAAUUGGCAGCCGGCGUAUUGAUUUCGGAGCGCAGUACAUCUCGCGCUUUGCACUCAUAACGACGACGUCCAAAAGUACAUUUUUACACUCUUGACCUCGGAUCAGGUAGGGAUACCCGCUGAACUUAAGCAUAUCAAUAAGCGGAGGA
rnacentral:misc_RNA from 1 species